AAGAGAUUAGGUGUUUCCUUCGGGGACGCUGAGACAGGUGGUGCAUGGCUGUCGUCAGCUCGUGUCGUGAGAUGAUGGGUUAAGUCCCGCAACGAGCGCAACCCUUGUCAUUAGUUGCCAUCAUUAAGUUGGGCACUCUAAUGAGACUGCCGGUGACAAACCGGAGGAAGGUGGGGAUGACGUCAAGUCAUCAUGCCCCUUAUGACCUGGGCUACACACGUGCUACAAUGGACGGUACAACGAGAAGCGAACCUGCGAAGGCAAGCGGAUCUCUUAAAGCCCUUCUCAGUUCGGACCGUAGGCUGCAACUCGCCUACACGAAGCUGGAAUCGCUAGUAACCGUGGAUCAGAAUGCCACGGUGAAUACGUUCACGGGCCUUGUACACUUCGCCCGUCCCACCAUGAGAGUGGGUUGCAAAAGAAGUAGGUAGCCUAACCUUCGGGAGGGCGCGUACCACUUUGUGAUUCAUGACUGGAGUGAAGUCGUAGCAAGG
rnacentral:rRNA from 1 species